rnacentral:rRNA from 1 species
UAAGACGUGGGUGGCGAGCGUUAUCCGGAUUUACUGGGCGUAAAGGGGGCGCAGGCGGCUUUUCAAGUCGGAUGUUAAAUCUCCCGGCUUAACUGGGAGGGACCAUCCGAUACUGUUGGGCUAGAGGACAGCAGAGGGAGGUAGAAUUUCCGGUGUAGUGGUGGAAUGCGUAGAUAUCGGAAGGAAUACCAGUGGCGAAGGCGGCCUCCUGGGCUGUUUCUGACGCUGAAGCCCGAAAGCGUGGGGAGCAAACAGACUUAGAUACUCUGGUAGUCCACGCUGUCAACGAUGGACACUGGGUAUGGGGAGUAUCGACCCUCUCUGUGCCGAAGCUAACGCGUUAAGUGUCCCGUCUGGGAACUACGGUCGCAAGGCUA